AUUUCAAGUGCACGGCACCGCAGCAACUCUAUUGCUUGCGCUAUGCGCGGCUGGUUUUUCACCAGCUUUUCAAUUUCAUCCUCGCGCGCAACAAAGAUCCCAGCUGGGAAGAGCAAGGAGGGACAGGAGGGGCAGGAGCGGCUGGUGUUGCUGCUUGCAGCGUAAGCGGCAACGGCAAGAGAGAAAAAGCGAAAGUGGGGGCGGGAGCUGGUGAAGCACAAGCAUGCGGGAUCAGGCAGGAUCGGAAACAACGCGUAAGCAGCCAAAGCCAACGGUCAAACGGCAGAAAGAGAAUAGCUAAAUAGCUUACGACAGUGUGACAUACGCGCGCAUUCACGGCCAGUUCUUUACUCAUAAUUACGUACGCAAUCCGCUAAUUAACACCGCUGUAAGUGACUGCACGACCCGCGGAAACCCUUCUGGAUUUACGCGUCUCGCGGCUGUGUGUUUAGACCCGUCAAUCAACCACAAUCUCCUGCAUUUUGGUGUGAACUCGACGAUGCAUCGUUUUGCAGAUUGCUAAUUGUGAAACGGCAACUUCCAUCGAAAUGGCCCCGCCACCCCAGCAUCUUCCAUGUGAAAGGAACCCCAUUGAGGCUCCUGCGCUGAUCGUGAGGGACGGAUCUCUUUUGGAGGGAAACCCUGGGAUAAAAUGGUUCGAUAUUUCUGAGUGGGCCCAAGAUGAAGAGGAGGAAGAAGUAGAAGCAAAUGAAGAAGAAGAAGAAUACGGAGCCACGUGAGACAAUUUUUUUAUUCUACUGAAUCGUCUUCGAUAUUGUGCCGACUGUUUCUGCUGCUCGUCGGAAGGCUCGGUUCGCACUCGAAAGGGGGUUCAACCUCGCGCUCUCCCCCUCGCAGGGAGGGUGGUGGUUGUGGUCAUGGUUGUAAGGUCAAACUCUCCCCUUCCAUUAGAUGACCUAAACCACAACCACCAUUCUCCCUGUGAGGGUGAGAGCGUGAGAGAGCCAGAAUGGAACCCCUCUCGAGUACGAACUGAGCCCGACGAAGAGCCAGCCGUGAGCAGCAGAAGCUGUUUAAAUUUUAUAUUUAUUAACAUGCCAACCAUUUUGAGUUUAUGAAAACAUUUAUUUUCGUACUUGUAUUUUAAUUUAAUGUUUUAAUUAUGAAUUUAUUUCCAUCUUCAGUCAUCAAAUUAAUAUAUUUUUGAUCGUUUUUUUUUUUAAGUAAGAAAUCUUAAGUAUGGUUAAGAUAACAUCGUAUUUAAAUAGUUUUUUAAGGAUUGUUCAUUUGCAUAGGUCUGCAUGUUUAUUUCAUUACUUAAAGGAUAUUGUGCCGACUGCCUCGCUGCUCGCGGCUAGCUCGUCGAAGAGCUCGGUUCGUGUUCGAGAGUGGGUUCAGACCUGGCUCUCGCGCUCUCACCCUCGCAGGGAUGGUGGUGGUUGUGGUUUCGGUUGUUUAUGAGGGAUUUUGAUCUAGGUAAAAGUCAAAAUACCGCCUAAUUGAAAAUUACCCUUAAUACUCUCGUGAAAAUUCACCCUUUAAUGUUAAUUCCGCGAGUGGGGAAUCAAAAUUGAGGUCAAACUCUCCCUUAGAAGACCAAAAUCACAACCACCACCCUCCCUGCAAGGGUGCGAGUGCAAGAGCCAGGUCGGAAUCCCCUCUCAAGUGCGAACCGAGCCCUUCGACGAGCUAGCCGCGAGCAGUAGAACAAAUGUUUGCGAAUAAUAAUUGUAAUUGCAUAUGUAUAAUGGUCUUAAUAUGCUGAAAAUAAAUAUAUUUAAUGCAAAAUUAAAGCCUAGU